rnacentral:rRNA from 1 species
CGUGCCUAAUACAUGCAAGUCGAGCGGACAGAUGGGAGCUUGCUCCCUGAUGUUAGCGGCGGACGGGUGAGUAACACGUGGGUAACCUGCCUGUAAGACUGGGAUAACUCCGGGAAACCGGGGCUAAUACCGGAUGGUUGUUUGAACCGCAUGGUUCAAACAUAAAAGGUGGCUUCGGCUACCACUUACAGAUGGACCCGCGGCGCAUUAGCUAGUUGGUGAGGUAACGGCUCACCAAGGCAACGAUGCGUAGCCGACCUGAGAGGGUGAUCGGCCACACUGGGACUGAGACACGGCCCAGACUCCUACGGGAGGCAGCAGUAGGGAAUCUUCCGCAAUGGACGAAAGUCUGACGGAGCAACGCCGCGUGAGUGAUGAAGGUUUUCGGAUCGUAAAGCUCUGUUGUUAGGGAAGAACAAGUACCGUUCGAAUAGGGCGGUACCUUGACGGUACCUAACCAGAAAGCCACGGCUAACUACGUGCCAGCA